CGCUGGCGGCAUGCCUAACACAUGCAAGUCGAACGGGGGUAGCAAUACCCUAGUGGCGAACGGGUGAGUAACACAUAAGCAAUCUGCCCUUCACAGGGGGAUAACAGCGGGAAACUGCUGCUAAUACCGCAUAAGACCACGGUACCGCAUGGUACAGGGGUAAAAACGAAUCAGUGGUGAAGGAUGAGCUUAUGUCCCAUUAGCUAGUUGGUGAGAUAACAGCCCACCAAGGCGACGAUGGGUAGCCGACCUGAGAGGGUGAUCGGCCACACUGGAACUGAGACACGGUCCAGACUCCUACGGGAGGCAGCAGUGGGGAAUAUUGGGCAAUGGAGGAAACUCCUUACCCAGCAAUGCCGCGUGAGUGAAGAAGGUCUUCGGAUUGUAAAGCUCUUUGAUUGGGGACGAAGAAAGUGACGGUACCCAAAGAACAAGCCCCGGCUAACUACGUGCCAGCAGCUGC
rnacentral:rRNA from 1 species